rnacentral:rRNA from 1 species
CCUACGGGAGGCAGCAGUCGGGAAUAUUGCGCAAUGGAGGAAACUCUGACGCAGUGACGCCGCGUGCAGGAAGAAGGUUUUCGGAUUGUAAACUGCUUUAGACAGGGAAGAAAAAAGACAGUACCUGUAGAAUAAGCUCCGGCUAACUACGUGCCAGCAGCCGCGGUAAUACGUAGGGAGCAAGCGUUAUCCGGUUUUAUUGGGUGUAAAGGGUGCGUAGACGGAGAACCAAGUUAGUUGUGAAAUCCCUCGGCUUAACUGAGGAACUGCAACUAAAACUACUUCCCUUGAGUACUGGAGAGGAAAGUGGAAUGCCUGGGGGAGGGGGGAAAUGCGUAGAGAUAAGGAGGAAAACCAGUG